rnacentral:rRNA from 1 species
UACGCAGGGCGGUUUGUUAAGCUAGAUGUGAAAGCCCCGGGCUCAACCUGGGAACUGCAUUUCAAACUGGCAAACUAGAGUGUGAUAGAGGGUGGUGGAAUUUCAGGUGUAGCGGUGAAAUGCGUAGAUAUCUGAAGGAAUACCGAUGGCGAAGGCGGCCUCCUGGAUCAAUACUGACGCUCAUGUGCGAAAGCGUGGGGAGCAAACAGGAUUAGAUACCCUGGUAGUCCACGCCGUAAACGAUGUCUACUAGAUGUUGGGAAACUCGGUCUUGCUUUGCAAACCUAAACGAUUAAGUAUACCCCCUGGGGAGUACCGGCGCAAGGGUAAAA